rnacentral:snRNA from 1 species
GGAUGUGAGGGUGAUCUGGCUGUGACAUCUGUCACCUCACUGAUCAACAGGGUUGAUUCAGCUGAUCUAGCUGGAUAUGCUGGUGUCCCCUUCCUCCCUCUCUGCUCCACGUGUGGCCCUCCUGAAGCUGUGAGCUUGGUCGAAGAUGAUGACGGUGGUAGUUUGAUUCAGGUGUCCCCCAUAAACGUAGGUGUUGUGAAUGCUAGCUCCCCAGCUGAUGGAGAUUUGGGAAUUAAUGCCUCCUGGAGGGAGUGUAUUGUUGGGAGCGGGCUUAAGGGCUUUAUAGCCAGUUUCC